GACAGUGUGGCAUAGUGGUUUGAGUGUUGGACUAGGACUCUGGAGAGCAGGGUUUGCUUCCCAGCUCAGCCA